rnacentral:rRNA from 1 species
UGGGGAAUAUUGGACAAUGGGCGAAAGCCUGAUCCAGCCAUGCCGCGUGUGUGAAGAAGGUCUUCGGAUUGUAAAGCACUUUAAGUUGGGAGGAAGGGCAUUAACCUAAUACGUUAGUGUUUUGACGUUACCGACAGAAUAAGCACCGGCUAACUCUGUGCCAGCAGCCGCGGUAAUACAGAGGGUGCAAGCGUUAAUCGGAAUUACUGGGCGUAAAGCGCGCGUAGGUGGUUUGUUAAGUUGGAUGUGAAAUCCCCGGGCUCAACCUGGGAACGGCAUUCAAAACUGACUGACUAGAGUAUGGUAGAGGGUGGUGGAAUUUCCUGUGUAGCGGUGAAAUGCGUAGAUAUAGGAAGGAACACCAGUGGCGAAGGUGACCACCUGGACUAAUACUGACACUGAGGUGCGAAAGCGUGGGGAGCAAACA